rnacentral:rRNA from 1 species
AUUGAACGCUGGCGGCAUGCCUUACACAUGCAAGUCGAACGGCAGCACGGGAGCAAUCCUGGUGGCGAGUGGCGAACGGGUGAGUAAUAUAUUGGAACGUGCCCAGUCGUGGGGAUAACGUAGCGAAAGCUACGCUAAUACCGCAUACGAUCUAUGGAUGAAAGCGGGGGAUCGCAAGACCUCGCGCGAUUGGAGCGGCCGAUAUCAGAUUAGGUAGUUGGUGAGGUAAAGGCUCACCAAGCCGACGAUCUGUAGCUGGUCUGAGAGGACGACCAGCCACACUGGGACUGAGACACGGCCCAGACUCCUACGGGAGGCAGCAGUGGGGAAUUUUGGACAAUGGGCGCAAGCCUGAUCCAGCAAUGCCGCGUGCAGGAUGAAGGCCUUCGGUUGUAAC